AACUGGUUGUUCUAGGGGCAUAUUGUCCUGGAAUUAUGGCCAACAUUCUACAGGGCAACAGGUCAUUGAUUCUGAUCCUGCCAGCAUCCACCCAUCUUAUCGGUGGGCAUCAUCCCAGGGUGAACCUGUGAAAGAUAUUGCUUAGUACUGCUUGGACUGACAUUUACGAAUAAAUAAAAACUAUGGAACUCAACACUAUUUUUAGCCUCUGUGGACAGCUCCAUAGGGAGAAUGAACUAUUCGUCAACGUCAACCAUAUUUUACUGAAGAUUUUGAAGGUAUUCCAACGUGACUGACUACAUUUCCUCACAUGUGUGCUGCUCUAUCUGAGAUCACCAUGUUUUCAAUUAUCUCAUAUGAACCGGAGUAGCAAG
rnacentral:lncRNA from 1 species